rnacentral:tRNA from 1 species
CCUUUGAUGGCCGAGAAAAGGCAUUAAGCUUUUAACUUAACUACAGUUUUAAUCUUCAAAGGC